AGUCUAUGGAAAUCCUACAGGAGGCUUCUAGUCUAUGGAAAUCCUAUAGGAGGCUUCUUGAAGAGUUUAAUAGAGGAGACUGCGCGCUGAAAGCGUCGCCCCGAGGACAACGUGACGCCCCGCCUUCCCGCCGCACUUGGGAGGUGCGCGCGCACCCGGGAAAGCGCGCCCAGGGGUGGGACCGCGGAUGUGCCCGGAGACAGCAUGGCGGCUCCGGCGUCGGGAACCCGGAGCGCAAGCCGGAGGCCCGCUACGGUGGCCCGCGGGGGCCCUUAUAGUGUUAGAACGCUGACUCCCCUUCGGCUCCUGGUGGAGCAAAGGGAAUUUCCACCCAGGGAUCAGAAGAACCCUGAGCGGUCGCGGGGCCGAACAGCCAGGACCACCAGAAGAGGACACCCCCAGCUGGCCAGAGUCGGAGGAAGAAAGAAGAGCAAGGCCAUUCAUUGAAUUUCUUCAUUCCCUCGUGAGCACCGACAAACUUCGGUUUGUUCUUGAUAGUGACUCUUUUCCGCGAUCUGUAAAGGGAAGUUCUGUUUCCGGAGAGAUAGGCUGGACUAAAUCAGUCCGUCCAACAGCUAGUUAUCAAGCGCUUACGGAGUGUAAGGCCCUGUGCUAAGUGCCCCCAGAACAAGUGCCCCUUGUCACUCGUCAUUGAGUGUUCUCCCUGGUUAGAGAAGAUGCUAUGUACUGUGGAGAUGGACAGGGCAUAUCCUAAGUCCACAGAUGCUGGCCCUGUAGGCAGGGAGGGUACAUCCUGUCUGGACGGUGACUCACUCUACAGUUGACGGGCAUGUUGCUGCCUCCUUCGGGGGUUAAAGGGCUUCCCUGGUGGCUCAGAUGGUAAAGUGUCUGCCUGCAACGCGGGAGACCUGGGUUUGAUCCCUGGGUGCGGAAGAUCCUCUGGAGAUGGAAAUGGCAACCCACUCCAGUUUUCUUGCCUAGAAAAUCCAUGGACGGCGGUCACAAAGAGUCGGACACGACUGAGCGACUUCACUCACCCCGGGGGUUAAAUGCAAUUCACCAGCCACAGGGUCGCCUCAAAGAUUAGUGUCCCAUCAAGUCCUCAAAUGAUGCUUUUGAACUGUGGUGUUGGAGAAGACUCUUGAGAGUCCCUUGGACUGCAAGAUCAAACAAGUCAAUCCCAAAGAAAACCAGUCCUGAAUAUUCAUUGGAAGGACUGAUGCUAAAGCUGAAGCUCCAAUACUUUGGCCACCUGAUGUGAAGAACUGACUCAUUUGAAAAGACCCUGAUGCUGGGAAAGAUUGAAGAUGGGAGGAGAAGGGGCCAACAGAGGAUGAGAUGGUUGGAUGGCAUCACUGACUUGAUGGACAUGAAUUUGAGUAAGCUCCAGGACUUGGUGAUGGACAGGGAAGCCUGGCAUGCUGCAGUCCAUGGGGUCGCAGAGUCAUACACAACCGAGUGACUGAACUGAAGUCUUCAAAGUUAGUUUCCAUUGUUGUCAGCUGGGUCCUCUGUAGUGGUAAUCAGCCAGCCAGUUCAGCCUUGAUGAAAGCCCAUGUAGUUGAACUCAUUCAUAGCCUCCAGCCUGUUACUGUAGCCACAGUGUAUGGUUUCUUUGAACAAGCACUGGGGGACUUGGAGGGUGGGGGAGGGAAAGCCAAUAUCCACAGUUUACAAAGACCUCCACUCCACCGAAUGCCUUCUAAGGGGUGUUUACAUGGGGCAAGAUAUCUUCAUAUUAUGUGCCCAUUCAGAAAAAUUCAUCCACAUAACUCCCCACCAGACCACCAUACCUAACCUCUAAUCUUGUUCCUUCUAAGCCCCUGAUUAACUGGUCAGCCCUUUAGCCAGUGUCCAUCAGUCCCUCGUGCUACCUCUACGCACCUACGUGGUAAGCCAGUCAUCCACUGAGAGUUCUAGCAUCUGAGACGAUUCCCCUUUGAAACUGUAUUCCCCUUUGAAACUUUUUUAAAACUGUAUCUUUUUUAUUUUUAGUUUAUCUAUUUAUUGGCUGCACUGCACAGCAUGUGGCAUGUCCCUGACCAGGGAUCAAAUUUGUGCCCCAUGCGUUGGAAGCACAGAGUCUUAACCAUUGGACGGCCAGGGACAUCCCACCACUGUCUUUUGAGAGCUGCACCCGAGCAAGGCUGUAAUACUGGCUUGUGCCAGCCGAUUAUGCAAGUGUCAGAGACUGGGUGUGGGGCAAUCCCGAGUGUGUGGGUGUGGCUUGGGAAGAGGCAAGAGUGCCAUCAAAGCAGGCGCUCUGGGACCUUCAGGCCCAGCCCUGUAGACGCGCUUUCUUUCCUCUUUCCAGUGGGAUACCUCUGUGUGCAUCCAAUUUUAUGGAUCAGAUGACACUCAAUGCAUGAAAGACAAUUCAGAUGACAGUCUGUGGCCUUCAGGGGAAGGUGCAGCCAGCCUGCCAUGAGGGAGCUGGAGCAGGAAGAACCCGACCUCACCCCAUCCCUGCCAGUGCUCCCUACUGGCUAUAUCCGCCCAAAAGACAGAGAGCCCAUUGAUGUGUCUACAUGAGCCAGCCUCUGGGGUCUCCGUGCAGGAUGAAGAGGAGAAAUUCACUGGUUGGGCUGUGAUGGCAGCCUCUAAGAUGGCCCCCACUUACCUCCACCCCCUGGAAUUCACCCCCUGUGUAGUCUUCUCCCAUAUUGUAGUAGGGCUGGUC
ensembl:lncRNA